CACCCGUGUCACUGUGCCAGCUCUGGGUGACAUCCAUGUCCCUGUGUGACAUCCAGAUGACAUCUGUGUCACUGUGUCACACUCAGGUGACAUCAGUGUCCCUGUGCCAGCUCCGUGUCCUUGUGCCACAUCCAGGUGACAUCCAAGUGACACCUAUGUCACAUCUGUGUCCUGUGCCAGCUCCGGGUGACACAUCCAGGUGACAUCAGGUGACAUCAGGUGACAUCCGUGUCCUUGUGCCACAUCCAGGUGACACCUCCAGGUGCCACACCCAGGUGACAUUGGUGUCCCUGUCCCAGCUCCGUGUCCUUGUGUCACCUCCAGGUGACAUCCAUGUCCCUGU